CGCGUAGGCGGCCUGGUAAGUCAGUUGUGAAAUCCCUCGGCUCAACCGAGGAACUGCGACUGAUACUGCCGGGCUCGAGUCCCGGAGAGGGUAGCGGAAUUCCCAGUGUAGCGGUGAAAUGCGUAGAUACUGGGAGGAACAUCAGUGGCGAAGGCGGCUACCUGGACGGGUACUGACGCUGAGGCGCGAAAGCGUGGGGAGCAAACA
rnacentral:rRNA from 1 species